AGGACGAACGCUGGCGGCGUGCUUAACACAUGCAAGUCGAGCGGUAAGGCCUUUCGGGGUACACGAGCGGCGAACGGGUGAGUAACACGUGGGUGAUCUGCCCUGCACUCUGGGAUAAGCUUGGGAAACUGGGUCUAAUACCGGAUAUGACCACAGUGCGCAUGUGUUGUGGUGGAAAGAUUUAUCGGUGCAGGAUGGGCCCGCGGCCUAUCAGCUUGUUGGUGGGUAAUGGCCUACCAAGGCGACGACGGGUAGCCGACCUGAGAGGGUGACCGGCCACACUGGGACUGAGACACGGCCCAGACUCCUACGGGAGGCAGCAGUGGGGAAUAUUGCACAAUGGGCGGAAGCCUGAUGCAGCGACGCCGCGUGAGGGAUGGAAGGUCCGUUCGGGUUACGUAAACCUUCUUUCAAGUCAGGGACGAAGCGUGAGUGACGGUACCGUGCAAGAAGAAGCGACCGGACUAACUACGUGCCGAGCGAACGCCCGGACGUAAUCGUAGGAGGCGGCGUA
rnacentral:rRNA from 1 species